UCUUUUCCUUUUUUUCCCGCCGCCGCGGUAAUACGUAGGGGGCAAGCGUUAUCCGGAAUUACUGGGUGUAAAGGGUGCGUAGGUGGUAUGGCAAGUCAGAAGUGAAAACCCAGGGCUUAACUCUGGGACUGCUUUUGAAACUGUCAGACUAGAGUGCAGGAGAGGUAAGCGGAAUUCCUAGUGUAGCGGUGAAAUGCGUAGAUAUUAGGAGGAACAUCAGUGGCGAAGGCGGCUUACUGGACUGAAACUGACACUGAGGCACGAAAGCGUGGGGAGCAAACAGG
rnacentral:rRNA from 1 species